AGGGUUUGAUCAUGGCUCAGAACGUACGCUGGCGGCACGCCUAACACAUGCAAGUCGAACGAAGUAGCAAUACUUAGUGGCAGACGGGUGAGUAACAUGUAGGUAUCUGCCCUUUGGCCUGGAAUAACACGAGGAAACUUGUGCUAAUACCGGAUAAGUCUUUACGGAGAAAGCUUUAUGCACCAUUGGAUGAGCCUGCACUUGAUUAGUUUGUUGGUGGGGUAAUGGCCUACCAAGACUGUGAUCAAUAGCUGAUUUGAGAGGAUGAUCAGCCACAUUGGGACUGAGACACGGCCCAAACUCCUACGGGAGGCAGCAGUGGGGAAUCUUGCACAAUGGAGGAAACUCUGAUGCAGCGAUGCCGCGUGAGUGAAGAAGGCCCUUGGGUUGUAAAGCUCUUUCGUCGGGGAAGAAAAUGACUGUACCCGAAUAAGAAGGUCCGGCUAACUUCGUGCCAGCAGCCGCGGUAAUACGAAGGGACCUAGCGUAGUUCGGAAUUACUGGGCUUAAAGAGUUCGUAGGUGGUUGAAAAAGUUGGUGGUGAAAUCCCAGAGCUUAACUCUGGAACUGCCAUCAAAACUUUUCAGCUAGAGUAUGAUAGAGGAAAGCAGAAUUUCUAGUGUAGAGGUGAAAUUCGUAGAUAUUAGAAAGAAUACCAAUUGCGAAGGCAGCUUUCUGGAUCAUUACUGACACUGAGGAACGAAAGCAUGGGUAGCGAAGAGGAUUAGAUACCCUCGUAGUCCAUGCCGUAAACGAUGUGUGUUAGACGUUGGAAAUUUAUUUUCAGUGUCGCAGGGAAACCGAUAAACACACCGCCUGGGGAGUACGACCGCAAGGUUAAAACUCAAAUGAAUUGACGGGGACCCGCACAAGUAGUGGAGCAUGUGGUUUAAUUCGAAGAUACGCGCAGAACCUUACCAACACUUGACAUGUUCGUCGCGACUCUAAGAGAUUAGAGUUUUCGGUUCGGCCGGACGAAACACAGGUGCUGCAUGGCUGUCGUCAGCUCGUGUCGUGAGAUGUUGGGUUAAGUCCCGCAACGAGCGCAACCCUCACUUUUAGUUGCCAUCAUUAAGUUGGGCACUCUGAAAGAACUGCCAGUGAUAAGCUGGAGGAAGGUGGGGAUGACGUCAAGUCCUCAUGGCCCUUACGUGUUGGGCUACACACGUGCUACAAUGGUAUCUACAACAGGAAGCAAGACUGCGAAGUUAAGCAAAUCCCUAAAAGAUACCUCAGUUCGGAUUGCACUCUGCAACUCGAGUGCAUGAAGCUGGAAUUACUAGUAAUCGUGGAUCAGCGUGCCACGGUGAAUGCGUUCCCGGGUCUUGUACACACCGCCCGUCACACCAUGGGAGUUGGUUCUACCUUAAGGCAAGGUUUCAAACCCUUGACCACGGUAUAGUCAGCGACUGGGGUGAAGUCAUAACAAGGUAGCCGUA
rnacentral:rRNA from 1 species